rnacentral:rRNA from 1 species
UACAGAGGUCCCAAGCGUUGUUCGGAUUCACUGGGCGUAAAGGGUGCGUAGGCGGUCGGGUAAGUCUGACGUGAAAGUCCAGGGCUCAACCCUGGGAUGCCGGUGGAUACUGUCGGGCUCGAGUCCGGAAGAGGCGAGUGGAAUUCCUGGUGUAGCGGUGAAAUGCGCAGAUAUCAGGAAGAACACCCGUGGCGAAGGCGGUUCUCUGGGACGGUACUGACGCUGAGACGCGAAAGCGUGGGGAGCGAACAGG